CUUGGGAUCUGGUUAACUAGAGACCUGACGAAAGUCUAUCAAGAAAACUUUCUCCCGAUUCUCCAAACGCUCCGUGCGGACUUGCUCAGAUGGGGACGCCUAUGCGUGUCGUGGUUUGGGAGGAUCAAUACAGUAAAGAUGAAUCUGUUGCCACGCUUGCUGUAUCUUUUCCAGGCCAUCCCGAUCGCGAUCCCGCGAACAUAUUUCAACACCUUGGGCUCGGCGAUACUGCGAUUCGUCUGGGCGAAGGGACCGCCGAGGGUAAGAAAGACGCAACUGAUACUCCCGAGACAUCGUGGUGGAACAG